rnacentral:rRNA from 1 species
AGAGUUUGACCAUAAACACAUUGAACGCUGGCGGCAUGCCUUACACAUGCCCUUCGAACGGCAGCACGGACUUCGGUCUGGUGGCAAGUGGCGAACGGGUGAGUAAUGUAUCGGAACGUACCUUUCAGUGGGGGAUAACGUAGCGAAAGUUACGCUAAUACCGCAUAUUCUGUGAGCAGGAAAGCAGGGGAUCGCAAGACCUUGCGCUGAUUGAGCGGCCGAUAUCAGAUUAGCUAGUUGGUGGGGUAAAGGCCUACCAAGGCUACGAUCUGUAGCGGGUCUGAGAGGAUGAUCCGCCACACUGGAACUGAGACACGGUCCAGACUCCUACGGGAGGCAGCAGUGGGGAAUUUUGGACAAUGGGGGCAACCCUGAUCCAGCCAUGCCGCGUGAGUGAAGAAGGCCUUCGGGUUGUAAAGCUCUUUCGGCCGGGAAGAAAUCGCAUAGGUUAAUACCCUGUGUGGAUGACGGUACCGGAAUAAGAAGCACCGGCUAACUACGUGCCAGCAGCCGCGGUAAUACGUAGGGUGCGAGCGUUAAUCGGAAUUACUGGGCGUAAAGCGUGCGCAGGCGGUUUCGUAAGACAGAGGUGAAAUCCCCGGGCUCAACCUGGGAACUGCCUUUGUGACUGCGAAGCUAGAGUACGGCAGAGGGGGGUGGAAUUCCACGUGUAGCAGUGAAAUGCGUAGAGAUGUGGAGGAACACCGAUGGCGAAGGCAGCCCCCUGGGCCGAUACUGACGCUCAUGCACGAAAGCGUGGGUAGCAAACAGGAUUAGAUACCCUGGUAGUCCACGCCCUAAACGAUGUCAACUAGGUGUUGGGUGGGUAAAACCAUUUAGUACCGUAGCUAACGCGUGAAGUUGACCGCCUGGGGAGUACGGCCGCAAGGUUAAAACUCAAAGGAAUUGACGGGGACCCGCACAAGCGGUGGAUGAUGUGGAUUAAUUCGAUGCAACGCGAAAAACCUUACCUACCCUUGACAUGUUCAGAAUCCCGGAGAGAUUUGGGAGUGCCCGAAAGGGAGCUGGAACACAGGUGCUGCAUGGCUGUCGUCAGCUCGUGUCGUGAGAUGUUGGGUUAAGUCCCGCAACGAGCGCAACCCUUGUCGUUAAUUGCCAUCAUUUAGUUGGGCACUUUAACGAGACUGCCGGUGACAAACCGGAGGAAGGUGGGGAUGACGUCAAGUCCUCAUGGCCCUUAUGGGUAGGGCUUCACACGUCAUACAAUGGUCGGUACAGAGGGUUGCCAAGCCGCGAGGUGGAGCCAAUCCCAGAAAGCCGAUCGUAGUCCGGAUUGCAGGCUGCAACUCGCCUGCAUGAAGUCGGAAUCGCUAGUAAUCGCGGAUCAGCAUGUCGCGGUGAAUACGUUCCCGGGUCUUGUACACACCGCCCGUCACACCAUGGGAGCGGGUUCCGCCAGAAGUAGGUAGCCUAACCGCAAGGGGGGCGCUUACCACGGCGGGGUUCGUGACUGGGGUGAAGUCGUAACAGAGGUAACCGUA